GGGCGCCCCAAUUAUGUCAGUCGAGCGGACAGAUGGGAGCUUGCUCCCUGAUGUCAGCGGCGGACGGGUGGGUAACACGUGGGUAACCUGCCUGUAAGACUGGGAUAACUCCGGGAAACCGGGGCUAAUACCGGAUGCUUGAUUGAACCGCAUGGUUCAAUUAUAAAAGGUGGCUUUUAGCUACCACUUACAGAUGGCCCCGCGGCGCAUUAGCUAGUUGGUGAGGUAACGGCUCACCAAGGCAACGAUGCGUAGCCGACCCGAAAGGGUGAUCGGCCACACUGGGACUGAAACACGGCCCAAACUCCUACGGGAGGCAGCAGUAGGGAAUCUUCCGCAAUGGACGAAAGUCUGACGGAGCAACGCCGCGUGAGUGAUGAAGGUUUUCGGAUCGUAACAAGGUAGCCC
rnacentral:rRNA from 1 species